UUGAUUCAAUAAGAUAUUUUCUGAUUGACAGCUAAAGUGGGUGUGUCUAGAGUGAGCGGCUACUCAGGAGGUGGUCUGAUGAUCAAGUGUGAACAUCCUCAAUACAAAACCAAACCAAAAUACAUCUGUAAAGAAUCAGACGGAUGUUCAGAGAGGAAGAAUCCAGGAGUUCAGGAUGAAUGGAUGGAGAAUGAAGAUGUUUCUUUAUAUGAUGACACCAGAGCAGGAGUCUUGAUGGUGUUUUUUAGAGAGCUGAAAGCUGCAGAUGCAGGAACAUACAGGUGUGGAGUGAAAGAAUCUGACUAUACUGAGAGCUUCACCGAACUACAGCUGAGCGUCAAACACGGUGAGGAACAGAAAAUACUGUAUAUUUUAUGUGUAAAUUAUUUGUUCUGAUUUUUAUGUAAGGUUGUCUUGGUUUAUAGACGCAAAAUAUCCAAAUAGCCUGACUGAGUCUGCUCAUCCUGGUGGAGAAGUCAACAUCUCCUGUCAGAUCCCAGAGAAACAUAAAGUUCAUUUCUGUAAAGAGGAUAAUAAUCACAUCUGCCAGAACAUCAGCUCAUCUAAAGUGACAGAAAUGAGUGGUUCAUCAGAGAGAAAUGAAGAGAGAGUUGUUACAGUGAGCAUCAGUAAUGUGAGUGUGAGAGAUGCUGGAGUUUACUGGUGUGGAGCAGAAACCAGAGACACAUAUCUGACUUUCAUCUCCCUGACCACUAAAAUACAGCUCAACCUCAUCAGUUUCUCCAUGAUCAUCAUUAUUAGUGUGUGUGUGAUUCUGCUGCUGAUCGCUGGAUUCACUCUGACUGUGUGCAAAUUAAGACACGAGAGACAAGGUGACGCUCACACACAGUCACCCACAAUCCCCUCUGAUGGGCUCCUGUACGCUGCUGUCAGUUUCCAGAAGCAUCCAGAAGAGUCUCUCAGUGAAGCUACAGUCAGAUUCAGUAAGAAUGAGAUUCACUCUGAUUACACCACGAUCAGUCAUCGCAUGAGACUCAACUAACUACACUGUAAAAAGUGAUUCUCUAUAUUUACUCAAUAUAAUUGUGUCAAAAGAUUACAAGCAAUAUUAUUAAUUAAAUUUAACACAUUUUAAUUAAUUAGAAUUAACCAUUCAAAAUGAGUAGAAUAACAUGAAAAAAUUAAGUAAAAUUUACACAAAAAUAUUUGGACAUUGGACAAAAAAAAAAAAGAAAAAAAGAAAAAAAACACUAUGCUAAAGAAUACUAUGUUAUGCAUGCCAGGCCAGUAGUUGGCGACCAUGAAACACCCUUCGAAAACAAUAUAUGCAUGCACAUGACGUCAACCUUUUUACAAAUUCACAUUUUUUGUUGCUUACAUAGAUAUGAUACAGGCAUCAUGUUCAAAAGGUUGUGUCUUAAGGCCCCCAAAACAGAGUUAUUGAAGACACCUAAAGUUCACGAACAGAAUCAGUGAAGGAAAAAAGGGUAAAUUAUUGGUUACCAUUAUAGUGGUAAGUGUUUGCUUUAGUUGGGCUCUUGACCCUUGAUGUUUUAAUAUUACAUUUUGUAUUGCUGUUGUAACUCAGUUAUAACAGCUAGCUAAGCUAAAAGAAAAGAUGAUCAGGUGUUGUUGGUUAUGCUUUUACAUAAUCUUUGUUUUACUUGAAUAUCUGAACUCAUUUAGAGCCUGAUCUCGGAGUUAAAUUAACAUUCAUUAUAGCAGCGCUGUGAUUCAACAAUAAAAGACCUGGAAUUUUCA
ensembl:lncRNA